CGCGUCCUACGGGACGCAGCAGUGAGGAAUAUUGGUCAAUGGGCGCAAGCCUGAACCAGCCAAGUCGCGUGAGGGAAGACGGCCCUACGGGUUGUAAACCUCUUUUGCCGGGGAGCAAGGGCGGGGACGUGUCCCGGCCCGGAGAGUACCCGGAGAAAAAGCAUCGGCUAACUCCGUGCCAGCAGCCGCGGUAAUACGGAGGAUGCGAGCGUUAUCCGGAUUUAUUGGGUUUAAAGGGUGCGUAGGCGGGCUUUUAAGUCAGCGGUAAAAAUUCGGGGCUCAACCCCGUCCGGCCGUUGAAACUG
rnacentral:rRNA from 1 species